ensembl:lncRNA
CUCCAAUGGGCACCAGUGAGUUCCAAUGGACUCCAAUGGGUACCAGUGGGUUCCCAUGGGUUCCAGUGGGCACCAGUGGGUUCCAGUGGGUGCCAGUGAGUAACAAUGAGCACCAGUAUGUAUCAUUGUGUACCAGUGGGUUCCAGUGGGUAGCAGUGAGUAUCAGUGAGCACCAGUGAGUACCAGUGGGCACCAAUGGGUUCCAAUGGGCACCACUGAGUUCCAGAGGGUUCCAAUGGGCGCCAGUGGGUGCCAGUGAGUACCAAUGGGUACCAGUGGGUACCAAUGGGCUCCAAUGGGCUCCAGUGAGUUCCAAUGGAUUCCAAUGGGCACCAGUGAGUAUCAAUGAGCACCAGUGGGUACCAGUGGGCACCAAUGGGUUCCAAUGGGCGCCAGUGAGUUCCAAUGGGUUCCAAUGGGCGCCAGUGAGUACCAAUGGGCUCCAAUGGGUACCAGUGGGUUCCAAUGGGUACCAGUGGGUUCCAGUGGGUGCCAGUGAGUAACAAUGAGCACCAGUGAGUACCAGUGGGUAUCCGUGGGUUCUAAUGGGUUCCAAUGGGCGCCAGUGAGUACCAAUGGGCUCCAAUGGGCACCAGUGAGUACCAUUGGGCUCCAAUGGGUACCAGUGGGUUCCAAUGGGUACCAGUGGGCACCAGUGGGUUCCAGUGGGUGCCAGUGAGUAACAGUGGGUACCAGUAUGUAUCAUUGUGUACCAGUGGGUUCCAGUGGGUAGCACUGAGCAUCAGUGAGUACCAGUGGGCACCAAUGGGUUCCAAUGGGCACCACUGGGUUCCAGAGGGUUCCAAUGGGCGCCAGUGGGUGCCAGUGAGUACCAAUGGGUACCAGUGGGUACCAAUGGGCUCCAAUGGGCUCCAGUGAGUUCCAAUGGAUUCCAAUGGGCACCAGUGAGUAUCAAUGAGCACCAGUGGGUACCAGUGGGCACCAAUGGGUUCCAAUGGGCGCCAGUGAGUUCCAAUGGGUUCCAAUGGGUUCCAAUGGAUACCAGUGGGUUCCAAUGGUUACCAGUGGGUUCCAGUGGGUACCAGUGAGUAUCAAUGAGCACCAGUGUGUACCACUGGGUAUCCGUGGGUUCUAAUGGGCACCAGUGGGUUUCAAUGGGCACCAGCAAGUAUCAAUGAGCACCAGUGAGUACCAGUGGGCACCAGUGGGUUCCAGUGGGCUCCAGUGAGUUCCAAUGGGUAACAUUGAGUUCCAAUGGGUUCCAAUGGGCUCCAAUGGGUACCAGUGGGUGCCAGUGAGUACCAAUGAGCACCAGUGGGUACCAGUGGGUGCCAGUGAGUAACAAUGAGAACCAG